rnacentral:rRNA from 1 species
AUUGAACGCUGGCGGCAUGCCUUACACAUGCAAGUCGAACGGCAGCGGGGACUUCGGUCCGCCGGCGAGUGGCGAACGGGUGAGUAAUGUAUCGGAACGUACCUUUCAGUGGGGGAUAACGUAGCGAAAGUUACGCUAAUACCGCAUAUUCUCUGAGGAGGAAAGCAGGGGACCUUCGGGCCUUGUGCUGAUGGAGCGGCCGAUAUCAGAUUAGCUAGUUGGUGAGGUAAAGGCUCACCAAGGCGACGAUCUGUAGGGGGUCUGAGAGGAUGAUCCGCCACACUGGGACUGAGACACGGCCCAGACUCCUGCGGGAGGCAGCAGUGGGGAAUUUUGGACAAUGGGCGCAAGCCUGAUCCAGCCAUGCCGCGUGAGUGAAGAAGGCCUUCGGGUUGUAAAGCUCUUUCGGACGGGAAGAAAUUGGUGGGGCUAAUAUCCCCAUCGGAUGACGGUACCGUAAUAAGAAGCACCGGCUAACUACGUGCCAGCCGCCGCCGUAAAAC